CUACUACUCCCUCCAUCCGAAAAUACUUGUCAUUGAAAUGGAUGUAUCUAGAUGUAUUUUAGUUCUAGACACAUCCAUUUUGAUGACAAGUAAUUUUGGAUGGAGGGAGUAUUAU
rnacentral:pre_miRNA from 1 species